GACGAACGCUGGCGGCGUGCUUAACACAUGCAAGUCGAACGGAAAGGCCCUGCUUUUGUGGGGUGCUCGAGUGGCGAACGGGUGAGUAACACGUGAGUAACCUGCCCUUGACUUUGGGAUAACUUCAGGAAACUGGGGCUAAUACCGGAUAGGAGCUCCUGCUGCAUGGUGGGGGUUGGAAAGUUUCGGCGGUUGGGGAUGGACUCGCGGCUUAUCAGCUUGUUGGUGGGGUAGUGGCUUACCAAGGCUUUGACGGGUAGCCGGCCUGAGAGGGUAACCGGCCACAUUGGGACUGAGAUACGGCCCAGACUCCUACGGGAGGCAGCAGUGGGGAAUAUUGCACAAUGGGCGGAAGCCUGAUGCAGCAACGCCGCGUGCGGGAUGACGGCCUUCGGGUUGUAAACCGCUUUCGCCUGUGACGAAGCGUGAGUGACGGUAAUGGGUAAAGAAGCACCGGCUAACUACGUG
rnacentral:rRNA from 1 species